rnacentral:misc_RNA from 1 species
AAAAACUUUGUUUCACCUCUCAAACGAUACACAAUCGCAUAGCGAGCCAAAGAAAAUACCAACAAAAACUUUGGUUUGAUAAGGUCAUCUGUUUGCAGCGGAGGGCAGCAGACAGGCACAGCAGCCGCAAAACCAAACCCCAAUUAUUUUCUAUUUCUCUUGCUUUUUGCGCACUUGGCGAGAAAGAGGCUCGAUGGGGUCCAUAAUUCGUGAAUGGGUCGGGUUUCAGCAGUUCCCUUCUGCCACACAAAGUAAACUCGUGGAAUUGUUUGGCAAAUUAAAGGAAGAGGGUGUGAGCACUUUGACCAUUCUUGUGAUGGGCAAAGGUGGAGUUGGAAAAUCUUCGACUGUCAAUUCUCUCAUUGGCGAGAGAGUGGUUAAUGUGAAUUCCUUCUCGUCAGAGGUGUCGAGACCUGUAAUGGUUUCACGGACCCGUGCUGGAUUCACGUUAAACAUCAUAGACACACCAGGCCUUGUGGAGGGUGGCUAUGUCAAUUACCAAGCUUUGGAAUUGAUUAAACGGUUUCUUUUGAGCAAGACUAUAGAUGUUCUGCUGUAUGUUGACCGCAUGGAUGCAUAUAGAGUGGAUGACUUGGAUAAGCAGAUAAUAAGUGCCAUUUCUGAUAGUUUUGGGAAAGAAAUAUUGUGUAAAACUUUGCUUGUCCUCACCCAUGCACAACUCUGCCCACCGGAUGAUCUCAGUUAUGAUGUUUUUUCGGCUAGAAGAUCAGAGGCUGUCUUAAAGACCAUUCGUGCAGGAUCAAGGAUGAGGAGAAGAGAGUUUGAGGUUCAUUUUUUUUUCUUCAUAUAUAAACUUAUUGCUUCUUGUAAUGUUCUGAACUAAAAUUGGGCAUGCUGACAUGCAGCUAUAAGCUGAAUUCUUUCCAAUGGAAAUGCAUAAUAUCCCCUUAUGCAUGUAGGGAAUUUUUUUUUUUUCCCACUUUAUGAGUGGUGAAGCAGAGGGGUGGUUUCACAUCGCAUCCAUGGUAUCUUCCUAAAAGAAAUACUCCCACCCCUACUUUCAGGCAUAAACACUUAUGUAUGCUCAUUAGGACCUAUAGAGAUUAGAGAACCAAGUCCUAUCAUAAUAAUACUAGUUUACUUAGUGAGUCAGUUUUUUUCUUCCUCAUUGUUCUGAGUUGGAAAAGAAUGGUAUGCAGUGCUACUUUAUACUGGACUACUUGAUUAGUGAGUGAUCUUAUUUUUUAUGUUUCACUUUGUAAGAAACUUGAUGAUUGUGAUGCCUUGGUCCAAGAGAAUAUAUAAUGUUCAUAUGUUGGAAAGGUAAACUGGGCAGUUGUCAUUUAUGUGUAGAAAGUUGUUAAACAAGAGAGGGGAAAAAGUUAUGCCAUGAAUCUCUGCAAAUUUUUUCUGGUCUUGCAUCCAUAUAUUUGAUUGUCAAAAGAGAAAGAAACAUUUGAAUGGAAAUUUGUUGUUUCACAUUGGGUUGUUUCGUAGAAAACUAUAUUCUAUUGUAUUGUUCAUUGGUUUGCCAUAUGGAGCACUAUCCACUUCUUCAAAACACUUCAGGUCCAUGAAACACUUUUUUGUCUGUGGAAUUUAUGAAAUGAUAAAAGUAUCUUCAGUUUUGGAUUUUUAUGUUUUGUGGUUUCUCAUCCAUAUUUGACUUCUUGUUCAAAUCAACCCAUUAAUUGUUCAAAAAUGAAUUCUAAUUUGUUUUCUUGAAUCUUUGCAUGCUUCACUGUGGUUGUAAAAACUCCUAUAGUCAGGGAUGUUGAAGCUAAAUACAUAUUAUAGAUGGAAGAGUGGGGUACUUCGUGAUGAAGAUAAUUGUAGUUUGAGUAAAGGAGAUAAUUUCUUUAUUCUUAGCCAUUAGCCAACCUGAUUUCAUUGGUGGAAGUUAAAGAACCCCUUGAUAUAUCUCUGAUUGAUUGGAUUCAGUACAUCAGUUGAUCAGGCUUUUUUGUUUCAAGUGGCUUGAGUAAAAUGUGGAGAAAUUAUCAUGCUGUCUAUAAGAAUGGAAUUAGGAUUUUUUUUAAAAAAAAAAUUAUAUAUAUAGCAAACUGGAAGAGGGUAAGAUUCCAAGGGAAAUUGAGAACCUUGUGUGAAUAUACUGGCAGGAAGGUGAGUGGCUUGGUGGUGGUUUACAUAUGCUGCAGAUAACCUUGCCUUUUUGCCUAUUUUGUUGGAUAACCAGUUGUGAUCUUGAGACAUUGAAAUUGAUAGUAUCAUUUUACCAACACCCUAAAUGAUAGUGUGAAACAUAUAACAAUAAAUACCUUGCAAAUCUCUCAUUUUCUCAUGUUCCACAAGCCAAGGUAUUCCUAAAACUUCUCCUUUCAUACCUUUUUGUGCCAAGAACCAUCAUUUUCUUGUCUUGUGUAUUUGUCUUCUCUAAUUUCCCUUUUUGUUUUGGUCAAAUAAAAGAAGAAUUUAUUUCAGAGGAACUUGAAGAAUUUAUUAGAGAGGAACUUCUUCAACUUCUAUCACCUGAAAUAAAUGAUUUUCUUUUUGAGGAGUCUGGUGAAUUCUUCUGAAAUUUUGAUUUUUUAGUAGUGCACUAGUUCUUCUAAGUAUUGUCAUGCACAUUUAUGAAUCAUUGAAUGAUUUUAUUCAUUUAUUUUCUUUGUUAUGUCAAAAUACUUUUCCAAGUUUUCAUGAAUCAUUUGAAAAUAUUUGUGCUUUUCUAUUAUAUGCUUUGUUAAAGCCUUGAAGGUAUUUUGAUUAGCAUCUGAAAUGGCAAAUUGAAUGCAGUUUUUGAAAGUGAAAUUUUAGAUAUGACUGGGAGUGGAUUGGCUAAAAGGUCCUGUUACUGGGCUGUAAAUUUGACUGAGUUAUUGUAAUUGUUGGGCCAUAUGAUCCCCUUUUUUGGAUUUUUUGGACCAACUGAUGGAAAUCUUUAAGUUGGUAUGAAGUUAUUCAGCCGGUUUCAUAUUUGGCUUGAUGAAUCAAUAUAUGAUCAUUUGGGACACAUUAAUAGAAACUAAACCUGUUUUCCCCUUAUGGGUGGAUGGCAAUUUUCAUGGGACAAUUAGUAGCCUGUACUCAUGUUUGAAAAAUCAAUUGCAAUGGUGAAAAUAUGUAUCCAUCUUUAUGCUUGCAUAUAGAAUUGAUGAAUAUUUUUUUUUCGUUUUCUCCCUAUGCUUGGAGUGUUCUUUAGUAAUCACUUACUUUCAAUGCUUAUAGGAUUCUGCCAUUCCAGUUGGUUUGGUUGAGAAUAGUGGGAGAUGCAAUAAAAAUGAGAAUGAUGAAAAGAUUCUCCCAAAUGGCGAGGCUUGGAUACCCAGCUUGGUAAAAGAAAUCAUUGGGGUUGCCACAAAUGGGAACAAAUCCAUUGUUGUUGACAAGAAGUUGAUAGAUGGGUCAGAGUCAAAUGACAGGGGGAAGGUGUUGAUUCCUCUCAUUCUUGGGAUUCAGUGGCUUAUUGUGAAAUGGAUUCAAAGAGCAAUCAAAGAUGAUAUUGCAAAAGGGGGCAAGGCCUUGUGAGUGCUGCUCAAUUUGGUUGUGGUCAAGGGCAUGUUCUCAUAUGGCUCUUUGAUAUUGUCUCUCACUUUCUUUCUCUGCUACUAAAUUCCAGUCUGUCUUCUGGUACCUUCAUCUUCUGAAAAUUCAAUCCAUGACACCUGAGUGUCCAUGUUUUGGUUUCCUUUGGUCGAGUGUAUUUUUGUCCCGGAGCUUCAUGUAAUUUUCUCUUGUUGGAAUAUUUGUCUAUUUAUUGUUCUUUCUUGGUAUUGUAUAAAAUUUUAACGAGGUGUUGGAAGGAUUGAAGCAUCAAAAUCGCUGUUGCUCUCAAGCAGAAAUACCACAAGUUUACUGGCAGACAAUGCACAGGCACAAUCUCCUUUCGAGUAAGAUAUCACCUAUUAGUAAUAGAAGAGUACAUGGCUGGUGCGCACUUUAUGUUCAAAUGUUAAUGUAAAAUGCACUUUAUUAGUUUAUCCUUUUGCCCAUCUUGAUUCCUGCAUGGGUCCAUAGAGCAAUUAGUGAGUGCUGCUGCGAGCACAGCUCAAAUUAAAUUUGCUUAAUAUUUC